GGAUGUGUAUUUGAAGAGUGUCUUGAGGAGAUGUAAUGAUGUAAAAAUUAUAUUCAGUAGUAUUAUGCUAAGGUCC
ensembl:snoRNA SNORD115 Small nucleolar RNA SNORD115